AGGAGGCAUGCUUGUUUGUCCCACUCAGAGACAAGGCUGAGGCAGGCAAAGACCCUGAAUCUCCAACCUGGCUCUGUGGAGCAAAGUUUCUUUCAAGUCCACCUGGUAAGUCUGUCGGCUCUGCAAGUUCUUGGCUGUGCACCAGGGUUUUGGAUCCCACGCAUGCGUGUGCACACACACUCUUGUUCCCAUCAUGAGCCUUAGGCUCACCUCCUGCCCCUCAGAAGCAUAAUUCCUUCACUUUGUUCUAGGACAUCUAUUCCCUACAUUGCCUGAAGCAGAAACCUCUAUUCUCUUAAAUUCAACUGCAUAGUACACUUUCAUGAUGUCACAGCAGAAAGAACACAUGAAAAAUUGUAUUCUGACUUCUAUUCAAUAUACAAUUAGAAGUAUGUAUAUGAAUUUAGAAUAGAAAAUAAGUAUGAAAUGGUGGAGAAAAUAUUACAUAAAUGAAGUUGACAGUAGAACCAAGACAAAAUGAGAGCCUUAUCGAAUCUAGUGUUUGUGAUUAGAAAAAAAAAUCAUGAAGAAUUAAGUAAAAAGACAUGGAUUCUACCUGUGACAUAACUGGUUUGUUAUCAUCAAGUCACUUUGCUUCUCAGUGCUUCAUUGUGCUCAUUUGCAAAAUAAAAAUAAUAAGGCCUUUCUGACAUCUGUUAUAAUUAAAUAAAAAUAGUUACACAUGUGAACUUGAAAAUACAAAGCAACAUACAAUUGGAAAGUUUAAAGAGAUAUUUAAAUUAUUAUAUACGUUUGAAAUUAUUCUUAUGUACUUUAAAGAGAAUAAUUUCAGAGUCAGUAGUUAAUUCACUAUUAAUUUAUUCAACCAAACAUUAAUCAAGCAUUUUCUCUAUUCUAGAUAUGAUACUAUGCACUGCGUUAUUCGUCCCUUCAAGAAGACACAAUUUAUUAGGGAAAAAACACACAUACAACUAAUUUAUUGUGAGUGUAGUUGUAAGUAAUAAAUUUAUCUCUUUAAAUUCUGAUUUAGCACUAUUUCUAAAUCAUCCAUCAGACAUUUCAAAAUAGUGUUCUAUAAUGAUAAAUUACCAAAUGUAAUCACAUAUAUACACUUAUAUGAUAAUAUAACAAAAAUAACCAAAACCAAUCAUUGAAGCUCUAGAAUUCUAAAAAACUGCUCCAUAUGGAAACCUCUUUUAUUAGAGUGUUUGCAAUACAUAAUAAGUACAUUCAUCAUGAGGAAUUAGUAAAUAUAUAUGGCAUCUUUAUGCUUUUUACUUUCCAUUUUCCUCCAAUCCAUCCCAUCUCCACAGAGCCACUUCUCCGCACAUCCCAUCUGUACAAACUGUCUUUCUGUUUCCUAUCAUGUUUUGCUCUUUAUAUUAUUUAUUCUUUGGAUUUCUCAUAUAAGAGAAACCGUGUGAUAUUGAACCUUUUGUGUCUUGCUUAUUUCAUUUAGUAUUUUGGUCUCAAAGUGCAUCUAUUUUUCUACAAAUGACUCAAAUUUGUCCUUCUUUGUGGCUAAGUAGUACUUCAUUUUAUAAAUUGUUUCUUUUUUUUUUGGUACCUGGGAUUGAACUCGGGUCCUUGCUUUUGCUGUAAAUUGUUUCUUUAGCCAUUUAUUUGAUGAUGGACAUAAAAGUUAUUUCCAAGAUUUAACUAUUAUGAGUUGUGCUGCUGUAAACAUGAGAAUCAUAUAUCAUUGUAAUGUAAUGCCUUUAACUCUUUCAAGCACAUACACAGAAGAGGUAUACCUGGGUCAAAAGAAAUCUCUAUUUUUGAGUUUUCUUAGGAAUCUCCAUACUAAUUUCAAUAGUGCUUAUCCUGAUCUAUUUUCUUACCAGCAAUGUGGAAGAGUUCUUUUUCCCUACAACUUAUUUAAUAUUUGUUGUUUUUUGAGUUUUUGAUGGUAAUCUUUCUUUUUGGAGUAAGAUAGGAUCUCAGUGUUGUUUUGAUUUGCAUUUCUCUAAUGGCCAAAUGUGCCAAACACUUUUUCAUUCAUCUUUUGGCAAUUUGUUCUUCUUUUUCUUAAACUUCCACUCAUUUCAAUUGCUCAUUAUUUGAUUGGGUCUUUUAUUUUGGGGGAUCUAACUUUUUUAGAUCAUUAUAUAGUCUCGAUAUUAGUCUACUGCCUGAGUAGUUGGCAAAAAAAAAAAAAUUCCCAUUCUGUAGGUUGUCUCUUUUCUCUAUUGAUUGUUUCCUUUGCUGUGAAAAGCUUUUUAAUGAGAUAAAAUCCAAUUUGUUGAUUCUUGGUGUUAUUUCUUGUGCCAUUAAGGUUCUGUUCAUAAAGUCCUUGCCUAUGCCUAUCUCUUCAAAAUUUUACCUAUUUUAUCUUCCAGCAGACUAAGUGUUUCUGUUUUAUAUCUAGGUCUUGAUCUAUUUUGAUUUGAUUUUAGUACAGGGUACAAGUAGGGGUUUAGAUUCAUUGUUCUACAUGUAGAUAACUAGUUUUCCCAGCUCUGUUUGUUAAAGAAGCUCCACCAUUUUCUCCACCAUAUGUCUCAUCUUUUUAUUCCUACAGCUUUGCCUAAUUUUUGAAUUAAAGGAAAAAAUAACCAAGGUAUUAUUUUAUAUCAAUGAGUAAUAGUAACAAUGCUUCUGAUCAGUUAGUGGAAGCUAAAUAGACACGCUGAUGGAAUUUUUUAAAAGCCAUUUAUCAAUAAAUAAGACAAGUUGAUAAGCAACCUAUAUGGGAACUCUUAUCUAUCUUAUUUUUGCUUUUCUAGAAAAUUUCAUUAUAUCUCCUCCGCUGUAUCAAGUUUUGAAUCAUAUAGGGAAGAAAAGGAGUUUCCAUGCUCAAAAUUUACAUGGUUACUUGUGCAUAUUUUUUCAGAGAGAAUAAUUUGAGUAACAUUUCUGUUCAGCAUGUUUUUUGUUUUGUUUUUGUUUGAUUUGUUUUUUGGUACCAGGGAUCAAACUCAGGACCUUGUGCUUGCAAGGCAGGUGCAGUGCCACUGAGCUAAAUCCUGGCUAAAAUUGAUAUUUUAAAACCCUUUGAAAAUCAAGGCACAAUGUUUAGCCAAAUCUAGACUUUAGUAUAAAAGAAUGGCAAUAAUUAUAUAAAGAAGAAUCCUUGUAAUGUGCCCUUUUUUGGAGUAAUGUGCCUUAUUUUAACCUAUUAAAUUUGCUAAGUUGCAAAAUAUUAUAUUUACUUGCACCAUGUUAUUAGAUGUUCAUAAUCACAUACUUAGUUAGGAAAAAAAGAUUAUAUGCCACAAUUAUAUUCCCUGUAGCAUUAUUUUAAAUUAUAAUAAGCAAUCUCAUAAAAUUCUAUAGUAUUCAUCUAAAACAAUUCUUAAUUAGUCUACUUCAUAUCAGUAAUCAUUAAGGGAUCACUGAACUUUUUAGUUUAAAUGUUUAUUUUGUUAAUACUGUUUUCUAGAGUAAGUUAAAUUUGGUUCAUGAAAAAUACAAAUGCACAAUUUUAAAUAAGUGAUAAUUAGCAAUUUUAAAUCGGGGAUAAUUUGUCAUUGAUUAUUUUUUAGACAGAAAAGUGUUGUAAAUUAUAAAAAAACUAUUGUCUGAUAUAUUUGUCUACUGUUAUCUUUUGAUUUUUAAAAAAAUGACAA
ensembl:lncRNA